rnacentral:rRNA from 1 species
GGGACAGUAGGUUGGUCGUGCCACCGGUACGUACUGGUCUCACUGAUUCCUCCUUCCUGAAGAACCGUAAUGCCAUUAAUUGGGUGUUGCGGGGAAACAGGACUGUUACUUUGAAAAAAUUAGAGUGUUUAAAGCAAGCUAACGCUUGAAUACAUUAGCAUGGAAUAAUGAAAUAGGACGAUCGAUCAUAUUUUGUUGGUUUCUAGGAUUGACGUA